UACGGGGGGUGCGAGCGUUGUUCGGAAUUAUUGGGCGUAAAGAGCGUGUAGGCGGCUGGGUAAGUCAGAUGUGAAAGCCCUGGGCUUAACCCAGGAAGUGCAUUUGAUACUGCCCGGCUUGAGUAGGGGAGAGGGAAGUGGAAUUCCUGGUGUAGAGGUGAAAUUCGUAGAUAUCAGGAGGAACACCGGUGGCGAAGGCGACUUCCUGGCCCUAUACUGACGCUGAGACGCGAGAGCGUGGGGAGCAAACAGG
rnacentral:rRNA from 2 species